GUAAUAAUCCUGUAGUCGAAAAUGUUGUCUCUCUUGAGUGGAUCCUGAGUACGACGGAGCACGUGAAAUUCCGUCGGAAUCUGGGAGGACCAUCUCCUAAGGCUAAAUACUCUCUAGUGACCGAUAGUGAACCAGUACCGUGAGGGAAAGGUGAAAAGCACCCCGGAAGGGGAGUGAAAUAGAACCUGAAACCGUGUGCUUACAAGUAGUCAGAGCCCGUUAAUGGGUGAUGGCGUGCCUUUUGUAGAAUGAACCGGCGAGUUACGAUUUGAUGCAAGGUUAAGCAGUAAAUGUGGAGCCGUAGCGAAAGCGAGUCUGAAUAGGGCGUUUAGUAUUUGGUCGUAGACCCGAAACCAGGUGAUCUACCCUUGGUCAGGUUGAAGUUCAGGUAACACUGAAUGGAGGACCGAACCGACUUACGUUGAAAAGUGAGCGGAUGAACUGAGGGUAGCGGAGAAAUUCCAAUCGAACCUGGAGAUAGCUGGUUCUCUCCGAAAUAGCUUUAGGGCUAGCCUCAAGUGAUGAUUAUUGGAGGUAGAGCACUGUUUGGACGAGGGGCCCCUCUCGGGUUACCGAAUUCAGACAAACUCCGAAUGCCAAUUAAUUUAACUUGGGAGUCAGAACAUGGGUGAUAAGGUCCGUGUUCGAAAGGGAAACAGCCCAGACCACCAGCUAAGGUCCCAAAAUAUAUGUUAAGUGGAAAAGGAUGUGGCGUUGCCCAGACAACUAGGAUGUUGGCUUAGAAGCAGCCAUCAUUUAAAGAGUGCGUAAUAGCUCACUAGUCGAGUGACACUGCGCCGAAAAUGUACCGGGGCUAAACAUAUUACCGAAGCUGUGGAUUGUCCUUUGGACAAUGGUAGGAGAGCGUUCUAAGGGCGUUGAAGCAUGAUCGUAAGGACAUGUGGAGCGCUUAGAAGUGAGAAUGCCGGUGUGAGUAGCGAAAGACGGGUGAGAAUCCCGUCCACCGAUUGACUAAGGUUUCCAGAGGAAGGCUCGUCCGCUCUGGGUUAGUCGGGUCCUAAGCUGAGGCCGACAGGCGUAGGCGAUGGAUAACAGGUUGAU
rnacentral:rRNA from 1 species